UCUGAAUCUGCGUACGGCUCCGCACACCAGUUGUAAACCAAAGCAAGCAAGCCCGGUCUCGACGCCUUUCGGGGCUAGGGGCCGGGCUACAAGGAUAACCCUGGUAAUUCUGAGGCUAAUACUUGACACGGAACCUGUCGACUGGGCCUCGGCCCGGGAAGCAGGGGAUGUGCGACUAUCGGGCCAACAAAACCGGAAAGAGCGCACGUUCAGACCACUUAAAAAGGCCACGAGGUCCCUCGGGAUCUCGGGGCUGUGGCUCUUGCAGCGUGCUUCUGACCUAUCAACUAGACGGCAGCCUAAGGGACAUGCUUUGGUG
rnacentral:rRNA from 1 species